ACCUGACUGCUAUCGGAUUGAUACUAAGCCAUGCGAGUCAUUGUAGCAAUACAAGGCAUACGGCUCAGUAACGCGUAGUCAACCUAACCUAUGGACGGGAAUAACCUCGGGAAACUGAGAAUAAUGCCCGAUAGAACACUAUACCUGGAAUGGUUUGUGUUCCAAAUGAUUUAUCGCCAUAGGAUGGGACUGCGGCCUAUCAGUUUGUUGGUGAGGUAAUGGCCCACCAAGACUAUUACAGGUACGGGCUCUGAGAGGAGUAGCCCGGAGAUGGGUACUGAGACACGGACCCAGGCCCUAUGGGGCGCAGCAGGCGAGAAAACUUUGCAAUGUGCGAAAGCACGACAAGGUUAAUCCGAGUGAUUUGUGCUAAACGAAUCUUUUGUUAGUCCUAGAAACACUAACGAAUAAGGGGUGGGCAAGUUCUGGUGUCAGCCGCCGCGGUAAAACCAGCACCUCAAGUGGUCAGGAUGAUUAUUGGGCCUAAAGCAUCCGUAGCCGGCUCUGUAAGUUUUCGGUUAAAUCUGUACGCUUAACGUACAGGCUGCCGGGAAUACUGCAAAGCUAGGGAGUGGGAGAGGUAGACGGUACUCGGUAGGAAGUGGUAAAAUGCUUUGAUCUAUCGAUGACCACCUGUGGCGAAGGCGGUCUACCAGAACACGUCCGACGGUGAGGGAUGAAAGCUGGGGGAGCAUACCGGAUUAGAUACCCGGGUAGUCCCAGCUGUAAACUAUGCAAACUCAGUGAUGCAUUGGCUUGUGGCCAAUGCAGUGCUGCAGGGAAGCCGUUAAGUUUGCCGCCUGGGAAGUACGUACGCAAGUAUGAAACUUAAAGGAAUUGGCGGGGGAGCACCACAAGGGGUGAAGCCUGCGGUUC
rnacentral:rRNA from 1 species